rnacentral:tRNA from 2 species
GCGGGUAUAGUUUAGUGGUAAACCAAGCUAAUGAUGCGGGUUCGAUUCCCGCUACCCGC